AGCUAACGCUGGCGGCAGGCUUAACACAUGCAAGUCGAGCGGGCACUUUCGGGUGUCAGCGGCGGACGGGUGAGUAACGCGUGGGAACGUGCCCUCUGGUUCGGAAUAACUCAGGGAAACUUGAGCUAAUACCGGAUACGCCCUUUUGGGGAAAGGCUUGCUGCCGGAGGAUCGGCCCGCGUCUGAUUAGCUAGUUGGUGAGGUAACGGCUCACCAAGGCGACGAUCAGUAGCUGGUCUGAGAGGAUGAUCAGCCACACUGGGACUGAGACACGGCCCAGACUCCUACGGGAGGCAGCAGUGGGGAAUAUUGGACAAUGGGCGCAAGCCUGAUCCAGCCAUGCCGCGUGAGUGAUGAAGGCCUUAGGGUUGUAAAGCUCUUUUAUCCGGGACGAUAAUGACGGUACCGGAGGAAUAAGCCCCGGCUAACUUCGUG
rnacentral:rRNA from 1 species